UCAUUGCCCUUCGGGGCUCUUGGUGAUUGAUAAAAAACCAAUGCCCUUCGGGGCUUUUGGUGAUUCAUAAUAACUUAACGAAUCGCAUGGCCUUGCUCCGGCGAUGGGUCAUUCAAAUUUCUGCCCUAUCAACUUUCGAUGGUAGGAUAGUGGCCUACCAUGGUGGCAACGGGUAACGGGGAAUUAGGGUUCGAUUCCGGAGAGGGAGCCUGAGAAACGGCUACCACAUCCAAGGAAGGCAGCAGGCGCGCAAAUUACCCAAUCCCGACACGGGGAGGUAGUGACAAUAAAUACUGAUACGGGGCUCUUUUGGGUCUCGUAAUUGGAAUGAGUACAAUCUAAAUCCCUUAACGAGGAACAAUUGGAGGGCAAGUCUGGUGCCAGCAGCCGCGGUAAUUCCAGCUCCAAUAGCGUAUAUUAAAGUUGUUGCAGUUAAAAAGCUCGUAGUUGAACCUUGGGUCUGGCUGGCCGGUCCGCCUCACCGCGAGUACUGGUCCGGCUGGACCUUUCCUUCUGGGGAACCUCAUGGCCUUCACUGGCUGUGGGGGGAACAGGGACUUUUACAAAGUUCAUGCCUACCCUUCACCGGUCAGGACCCCAUCUUCUUUAAAAGCUCACCCCUUUUAAAAUAAAAAAAAAACUAC
rnacentral:rRNA from 1 species